GGAUGACAAUCACAUCCCAGCCGCGGCGAUCAGCUCCAACUUUCUUCAUUAGCUAACUACUGUUGGAGCCGUCACAUUGCUGAGGAUUUAUCGCAGCCAGGAUUGCCCUGGAACACAAGCCAAUCCGUUUAUGAAAAUAAAAGAAAGGAGGUUGAAUAUUCGCUCAUUUAUUUCCUGUUUUCUUUCCACAGUAAAUAACUGAGCGAAUCUAUAACGGAGAUAAAGAGUGGAUGUGAAAUUGACUGUACAUGGAGACCCCUGACCUACAGAGGCUUCUUUUCCCUACCUCUUUAGGAAACCCGGAUCAAGUCUGAUUAGGCGGAAACGACGAGGCUGCAGCUAUGUGCCCCCGAGAGAAGACUUACAGCAUCAAUGUUAAGUGUGGAGUGAACUGGCCGAGUCCGAAGGAGGACUCCGCCAACAGCAGGUGUGCAAUGAUCUAAACUGCCCCAGACUACAUUCUCCGAGAGCCUCUCUGUCCGCCCCGCCUCCCAGCCUGGCUUUUACCUCUGAUUGGACGUCGGCUGAAACUGGCUCCGCCCUCAACGUCGACCUUCUCCUCCUUCCGAGAGUCACUGCGCCAGCUACGGGGGUGGAGUUGGGCGGGGCGCCGUGGGCGCUAUUGUCAUGGAGACGAGAAGCCAGAGACUUUGCCUGCUGGACUGUGCUGACUGGACCCGAAGCUGUUGCGGGGCUGAGAGCGCAGAGCGGUGCGAGGUGGAAGUGGCCGGGAGCGUAAAAGAGAAGCCGCCAGGCCGAGCUGAGAAGGCAAGUCCUGGGUAGCUUAUGAGAAAGAGGCGGCCCUGGGGCUCUGAGUGCGGCGCGGGGGAGCGCCCCCCCCUGGCUGGGCUGAGCUAGCCCGGGAGCUCCUCCGCUUCCCUCCCACCCUCCUUCCCUUCUUCCCUCCCUCCUCCCGCCCCUUAGCGCCAGCCCUCGGCUCCGCCUGCGCCGCCGCGCCGCUCGGCUCCGCUGCAGCCCCUCCGGCUGCCCGCCCUAACGGUCUAUAACGGCCACGGGCCAGGAGAACAAGUCCUCUGGCGCGCGCGCCGCCCGAGGGCUCGUGAGGAGACAGACUAGAGCCAGCUAGGCCCGCGCGCUGCCGCCACGGAGAACCAGAUUCUAUAAUCAAUGGUGGAUCCUCUAAUUAUAUAAGAAGAAAAAGGAAAAAUUAUUCUGAAAAUUAAGAUUCAGUCGUCUUUGAAUGAACUUUUCUACAAGUCUCCUAACUCUGUGGAAUUAGAUGAAAGGAUAUUGAAAAAUCAAGUUUUCACAUAGUUUAAAUAUCCCUGAAUUUCUUGUAUAGAGAGAUCAGCCCCAAUUUGUCAUGCAGAAGAUGAUUACUCUCCAUUGUAAUCACCAGUGUUAUUGGAGGAAAAAUCAAGUUAUAUUAGAAUAUUUAAAGAACUUUUUAUUAUAUGAGUCUUAAAAAUAAAGUCAGUUGUAAAAAACUUUUUCUAAAAUUGUCAUUUGUUGGAUUAAAUAUCUUUGCAUACAAAUGAUAGAUUCCCCUUCCAAAAUAUUUCUUCUUCAAAUAUGAUAUUUUACUGGUACCUUAAUUACUUCUUAUUCUUAUGUGAAAAGCAAGAGAGGAAAAAGUCUGAAGGACAUAUUAUGCAUCUAAUUUUUUGUAUGUUCCACAAUAGAUCUUUUAUUAGCUGAAUUCAGAAAUAUGUAAUAAAAAGUUCACUAAUAAAGUA